UUUUUCUGGAAAAAAUUGAGUUGACCCUUUUUCGAACAAAAUUUAGUAUGUAGUGCUAACUUGACACCAUGCACCAUUGUCGACAGAAUUGACACAUGACAACAUGGUGUGAUAGCUAUUGAUCGUCCAAAUGCCCAAAGCAAUUACUUGACACACGUUGGAUGGUUUACAAACAUUUUUAAUUACUGAUUAUAAUAAAUUUAGGAAAAAGAUGCAAUCUUUUAAAUUUUAGCUGCCUGUCAAUCCAUAAGGGAUCAAUGUUUACCACGCACCAACGAAACAAGCAUGCGUUUUUUCGUACCAGGAGAAAGCAUCGAAAGCCUAUACCUUAUGAAUGCAUAAGAGCCCUGCAGUAAAAUUUAGAGACAGUCUGGCAGAGCGCUAGUUCCGGACUACAUAUCUCAGAACUCUCUCUGAACUAGUUCAAAA